rnacentral:rRNA from 1 species
GACGAACGCUGGCGGCGUGCUUAACACAUGCAAGUCGAACGGUAAGGCCCUUCGGGGUACACGAGUGGCGAACGGGUGAGUAACACGUGGGUGAUCUGCCCUGCACUUCGGGAUAAGCCUGGGAAACUGGGUGUAAUACCGGAUAGGACCACUGCCUGCAUGGGGGGUGGGGGAAAGCUUUUGCGGUGUGGGAUGGGCCCGCGGCCUAGCAGCUUGUUGGUGGGGUGAUGGCCUAGCAAGGCGACGACGGGGAGCCGGCCUGAGAGGGGGACCGGCCACACUGGGACUGAGAUACGGCACAGACUCCUACGGGAGGCAGCAGUGGGGAAUAUUGCACAAUGGGCGCAAGCCUGAUGCAGCGACGCCGCGUGAGGGAUGACGGCCUUCGGGUUGUAAACCUCUUUCAGCACCGACGAAGCGCAAGUGACGGUAGGUGCAGAAGAAGGACCGGCCAACUACGUGCCAGCCGCCGCGGUAA